rnacentral:misc_RNA from 1 species
GUGAGUCAUCGAAUCUUUGAACGCACAUUGCGCCCUUCGGUAUUCCGUUGGGCAUGCCUGUUCGAGCGUCAUUUAACUAUUCAAGCUCAGCUUGGUGUUGGGUGCUUGUCCUCCCCCGCGGUGGACUCACCUCAAAUGCAUUGGCGGCCGGUAUGUUGGCUUCGAGCGCAGUAGAAACGCGCCUGGCGUCCCGACAUGCUGGUCCCCCAUAAGACCAUUCUUUUAGCUUGACCUCGGAUCAGGUAGGGAUACCCGCUGAACUUAAGCAUAUCAAUAAGCGGAGGA